UGAUGCGGUCCACCUGUGUUGACCGCUGGAUUUUUGUUCUGGUUUAUCCAUUGUGCACGUAUUCUUUGGUCAUUUCACAUCCUUUUCGUCCCAUAAGUUUCUUAUUACCUAAAAAAUAAAUAAAGCACCCAAACAUGCAUAAAAGUAGAAAAACAAGAGCUUAAACAUCUAAAACGUAACAAAAAACAACUAAUAUUAUGAUGUAUAAACCAUUUAUCAACCAUUGAUGAUGGGUUUGCACUUCCCAACAUCUAAUAUUAUGGAUCGUAUGCUCGUCUUUGUUGGACGGUAUUCGAGGAGUCAAGGGGUUUCCAUCUUUCAUUUCAUCCCUCAUAAAUCUUGAGAGCUCUUCUUUUCUGUUUGCAACCUCUAUCAUCUUUGUCAAUAUCAUUUGAUUGGCCGUUAUUUUGAUACAUUUGUGCCACCUUCUUUGGCAGAUCCUACAACAUGCGAGUCAGCAAGUUCAUCUUCUUUAAGGAGAUAACUCAGACAUGUGGGUAGAUCAAGAGACAUUAGAUAUUGUUUCCUUUUUCAUCAACAAGGAUUGUUUGGAUCAUGCCUUCACCGAGUUCGGUCUGUUAUUAUAGUUUAUUGAUUAAUUUUUGUAGGAAAUUGUUAAGAAAGAUGUCUUACUCUGUUACUGUCAUAUUAUUCAAUAUUAUUUUUUUUCAAAAACUAUGUACCUAAUUGUGUACCAAAAUAACAUUUCCUUUUCUUUAAAACCUAUAUUUAAGUCAAAAACGGGAUAACUACUUUGUAUCA